ACUGCUAUCGAGGUUCGACUAAGCCAUGCGAGUCGAAUGUAGCAAUACAUGGCGUACUGCUCAGUAACACGUGGACAACCUACCCUCCGGACGGGUAUAAACCCGGGAAACUGGGUAUAAUCCCCGAUAGAUCUCGGUCGCUGGGAUGCCCCGAGAUCGAAAGCUCCGGCGCCAGAGGAUGGGUCUGCGGCCUAUCAGGUAGUAGUGGGUGUAGCGUACCUACUAGCCUACGACGGGUACGGGUUGUGAGAGCAAGAGCCCGGAGAUGGAUUCUGAGACACGAAUCCAGGCCCUACGGGGUGCAGCAGGCGCGAAAACUUUACAAUGCCGGCAACGGCGAUAAGGGGACCUCGAGUGCCAGGUUACAAAUCUGGCUGUCGCGAUGCCUAAAAAGCAUUGCAUAGCAAGGGCCGGGCAAGACCGGUGCCAGCCGCCGCGGUAACACCGGCGGCUCGAGUGGUAACCGUUAUUAUUGGGUCUAAAGGGUCUGUAGCCGGCCGGAUAAGUCUCUUGGGAAAUCCAGCAGCUCAACUGUUGGGCUUUCAGGAGAU
rnacentral:rRNA from 1 species